UCGGGUGGUUGUGGCUUUUAGUGUGAUAGCAGGAGACACACAAGCCAUAAUCCUGGGGCAAAACAUAGGAGGUGCAGAACAAUACUUCCUCUUCAGCUCCGCCACUCAACGGGAGACCAGGCUGUCCCCCCUGAUGAGACCAGGUAAUGUUUCUGUGUCACCCCUCACAGCAGGGGCACCUGCAGGCCCCUCCCCUCCUGCCCAUGACCUGGCACCUACCUGGCAGUCCGUGCAGCGCCAGUGCCUGUCCGCUCGGUCCGUGCACUCACUGCAGGUGUAGACGCAGCAGCAGGUGGACCCGCAGGGAUGGGUGGAGUAAAGGGAACUGGAGGCGCCUGACCCUUCUGAGGGAGAGGAACUCAUCCUGGCCACGGAUCAGACCGCAGGGGAUGAGAG